rfam:Brevibacillus parabrevis strain CN1 contig_37, whole genome shotgun sequence.
GGAGUCCCAUCAGGAUAAUGCCUAACCAGCGGUCCUGUAGCUAGUUCUUGAAGGUAAUCCGGUAACGGAUCAUUUUAAGCGUAGAACGGCAAAAUAGCGGGCCGAAAGCGAAAGCUGAAGUGAUUGAGCCUCGAAAACUAAGUUGAGAAUGGCCGAUGUAGUUACACAUGUAGAAGGCGAAACUAGUUCAAGCGCUAAGGUGAGCUUGAAUUAGCACUCCGGGGUCUAAGAGCU